UGCAGCCGGUCUGCCAUAAGGCGUGCGCUGUGGGGAGCUGGAGGUCGCCUUGGUGGUCAGCUCGGCGCAGGGAUCCCUGGGCUGGGUCGCGCCUCCCGCCGAGAGCGGCGCGCGGUGGCUGGGCGCCCCCGGGAGGGCUGGCCGAGGUGCAGGGACGCGCAGGGCCAGCGAGGGGAGCUGCAGGGUAACUUUUCCCAGGGAAGGCGGCCGGUCGUCCCCGCGAGCAGCCGCCUGCCUUUUGUUUGUUUUCCUGCCGGAGGCUGGAGAGCGGCCGGGUCCCUGCUGCUCUGCCAUGCGCCGCGCGGCCCGUGCGACUCGCCGGACCUCCCGGGCGUCCCUGCACGGACCCCUCGGCCUGUCCUAGCAGGGAUCGUCCCGGUCCCCAGAGCCCGAGCGGGCUGCUGCGCCCCACUCGCCGAGGAGCUGAGCUCACCGCAGGGGCGGGCCCCGCCUGUGUUCGCGGCGCCACCAAAGAAGAAUGAAAAGAAGCGGUGCAGGUUCCCCUCGAGAUGGUAAUGAAGGUUGAUGUGGGCAUUCACGCUCAGUCUCUGCUCCCCAUGAGGUGCUCUCUGAUGUUAGGAAAGUGUUACUGCUCAACAGAUCCUAGAGAAAUGCUCAAUCCGAGCGGAAAGCUUCCACUCCUUAUUUCCUUCCAAGGAAACAGAAGCGUCCUUACACCUUGAGUAAGUGCCUGACUCUUUGCACUUUGAAAGUUGAAACCUUCAUAGAAAGAGUGUCUUGUGGUCACGCUCACCUGUGUAGUGGGAAUCAAUCCUAAAGGCAUUGGCUUGUAAAGUGGUCUCAAGAGUUUGAAGAAAGCACGUCUUUAGUGAUCUGCUCCUUUUUUUUUGUAUAUGUGUUCAGGAUUAGCGAUAUGUUCAUAUACUUUUUGCCAAAGGGCAAGAGGGGAGCAUGUGACACAUAUUUUCUAGACUUUUAAAACAUUUCUUAUAAUAGACUAUUAAAACAUUUCUUAAAUUCACACAUUAAAAAAUAUACUACUCUGGGGCCACCCAGUGUCACAGCGGUUAAGUUUGCACGUUCUGCUUCAGUGGCCUGGGGUGCACCAGUUUGGAUCCCAGGUGUGGACCUACACACGGCUUGUCCAGCCAUGCUGUGGCAGGCAUCCCACGUAUAAAGUAGAGGAAGAUGGGCAUGGAUGUUAGCUCAGGGCCAGUCUUCCUCAGCAAAAAAGAGGAGGAUUGGCAGCAAAUGUUAGCUCAGGGCUAAUCUUCCUCAAACAAAAGAAAAAAGCUACUCUGAAGAUAACAAGGAUCCUGUUCCUACUAGUUGGGUCUCUGGAUCUCAUUUGUAAAGUGAGGGUGUUGGAUAAUCAUUAAGGUCCUUUACAGGAAAAAAAAAAUCUAAUUCUGUAGUCUGAAUUCAACAUUAACAUUAAGCUAUGCCUAUGUUGAAACUGGGUCCUGCUGAACUUAGCAUUCAAUCUGUACUAAUUAGCAUUAGGUUAUAUAUUAUCUUACUUUAAAUUUUUCCUAGAUUUUAACUUUGUCAUCCU
rnacentral:lncRNA from 1 species